rnacentral:rRNA from 1 species
AAGGACUCUCGGCAACGGAUAUCUCGGCUCUCGCAUCGAUGAAGAACGUAGCGAAAUGCGAUACUUGGUGUGAAUUGCAGAAUCCCGCGAACCAUCGAGUCUUUGAACGCAAGUUGCGCCCGAAGCCAUUCGGCCGAGGGCACGCCUGCCUGGGCGUCACGC